CUUUUAUAGGAAAGCAGCAAUCCAUUGGUUUUAGGCACCAAAA
rnacentral:tRNA from 1 species